UGUCAUUGCAUGAGGAGCUGGUGAGUGCAGUCAGACGCUGAAGGUGGACAGAUCCUUGAGGGGACGCUAUGGGAUAAAAGGAUAAAGCUGUUAUAGGCUCUUUAUUGUACAACCCUCUCCUAACCCACAGCAAAGAAUGGCAGACAGUGUUGGGAAGUUACUCUGAAAAAAGAAUACAUUGUCACGAUAUGGUGAGGUGCAAGGACAGAGGACCCAAACACAGACAGCGGGUAAGGGGUUAACAAGGACUUUAAUAAUAAAAUAAAACAAAGACAAAACAAAAACCCACGAGGGAGUAAAACAAGAACAAGGGUAUAAUAGGACAUGAGAAUAGGACUAACUACACCUAACAAGACUAAAAAAAUAACAUUCACCAUAUUUUACAAAAGACUAGACUACACUAACAAGACAAGGACUCACCCACAUGAAUCAAAUGACAAUGAACCAGCACAGGACAGAAAACACAGGGGCCUUAAAAAGGGAACAAAUCAAGAGGGAACAGGUGCGGGGCAUGAACUAAUUAACAAUCAAUAAUGAAGAGACGAAAGGGCGGGAACAGAGACGAGACCGGAGAGAGCAUAAGGAAGGCCAACAGGGCCAGGAUGCCUCUCUCCACAUAAAACAUGGGGUUCUGUCAUGACCCUGCCACUAGACCAAGAGAAACAUGACAUGAUGCGGCAGAAUCAUGACAUACAUGUAGUGAUUAAAAUGAAGACCGGAAGCCACGGUCAAAUGCUUCACAAAGGUCAUGUCAAACAAUCUGUCAGAAGUGAGGCAACCUGCCAUGUAAAUUCAGCCAGCUCACAAUGAACACGAUGCCAGAAUGUUUGCCACGUUGAUCCAAGUGCUAAGAAAUAUAGACCGUAUAGUCAGGCCAGGCCAUCCCAAUACUCUCGUAUAACAUGUCAUUAUGCUCAACAACCAUACUUGCAUGAUACCCAGAUGACUUUCAGUCAUUCACCUGACUGUAUGACUCACAACACAACACCCACUGUCCGUCCACCACAGCCAAAAUAUAGUGUUAGUAGAUGUCUGUCGGCCAUUUACAUUCCAGUUUUACUUUUCCAUUGAAAUGUUGUGUAUUGUGUAAUUCAUUGUGAAUCACGUUAACACGUUUUGACCUUUUCUUGGUUGUCAGACAUUCCACCACAUGGAACAUACAUUCAUUCAGGCUGAUUUAUGUCGCUCAUUUGCUAAACUGGACACAUGUACAUUUGGUUAAACACACAUAAUCCACUGUCUUCGGUAUGCUUGAACAGGGUGACAAACACAUUUGAGAGCAAACAGAAAUACUGAUUAAUGUUUAGAAAAAAAUGCAAGACGAAAAAUAAAAGAUCGUUUUCUUAAUCUAGAACAGUGGUCUCUAACGUCCAGCCUACACUGAGCCCAGAGGGCUACUUGCUGAAUAUACUUUAUAAAUCAAUUCGAGAAAUGUUAAUAUUAGGGUGACCAUACGUGCCAUUUUUCUCCGGAGGUCACAUGUGUCCACUGCAUACGUCAUCGAGGUUCUCACGUUUGAGUUAAAGGGGAUGUGCAACUGUGUUUCAUGCAUUCUGACUUCUUUACACUGUUAACCGUGCUCUCCUUGCUGCCGCGUGCUUUUCCGGGAGAAUUGUCCAAUAAGGGACUAAGAAAAAUUGUUACGAAACAGUUUUAUAUGUUAAAAAAAAACUUUCCCGAAACCUGUACGAUCGUUGGGGGAGUGUAUCGAGCACAGAAAUACUACGUAAUACACCCAACUGGUUUUUUGACAAGUUGACCAUGUUAAGCAUGAGAAGACAGCACGUUUAACAUUGUAAAGAAGUAAGAAUGCAUGACACACCGUCGCACGGCUGCUGUAAAGCACAUAAUCAUUGUAGUUUCAUUCUUACCUUGAAAUAUAACUUGAAAUAAUAAACCUUGACGAGGUAUGCAGUGGACAAAUGCGACCACAAGAGGACGCACGCCAAAUCCUGGCCAGGAAAAUGGCACAUAUGGUCACCCUAGUUAAUAUUAAAGUUCAGGCCUGGCAGGUGACUCGCGUGGGCACCAUGUUGGAGAGCAGUGAUGGAGAACAUACAUAUGAGGUUCUUGUUGCUGGUGCUGUUAUUUCUGCUCAGAGGUACUUUUAUGUGAAUGUCACAGAUCGUGUCACUACAGAACAGGUGACUCCAUCAAAAUGCAGCAUGCUGUGACUGGUCGAACUCUUUUGUGUUCCAGUUCAGAAUGUUUCAGGAGACCUCUCCAGCAGUCCUUCAAUCCUCUGAGUACACACACGGGCACGACUAUGAUCGGCACCUCAGUGCUCCAGUGAUUUAUCCUUUCUGCUUUAUUUCAUCAAAUGGGCUGCUGUAUCCUGAACUUCUUUAUGGUGUACUGUCUAAGUCACAAUGGACAAGCAAAAUUAAUGUAUACUGAUGAUAUUGUCACAAAUGUCUCUGGUGUAAAAUAAGCAAGCAAUGAGAUAGUCAAGGCUAGUGCUUAAUUUUAAAUAAAUCACAACCGAAGGACGUUUUUACGCACGAGCCGAAACAGAGUGAAUUAUUCAUGAUAAACCCCAAACAUUCAGUACCAUAAUGCGUUUAGAAAACAAAUAGACUGUUUCAUUGAACGUGCGCACUGGGGCCUCAUGUAUCAACGCUGCAUACGCUCCAGCUUUCACGCUCACGGUCGGAUGUACUAACAGUGAAAUUAAUGUGAGAAUGUGCGUUCCUCCACGCCAACUUCAUGUCUGGCGUACGUACAUUUCUCGUGAUUUUUGUCCUUUGGCGACUGUUAGAGGCAAUGAAGUGAAGUUGCAAACAUAUAGACUAUCAGAUCAUUAGACAAGUCUAUCGCACCACCAGCUGUGAGAAACAUUACGAUAAAUGUGUAAUUGAUAAAAUAAUUGACACACUAUUGUCACACGAGCCUUAUGGGAAUAUGUUAUCAAUUAUGCAAUUAAGAAAGAACACAUAAAAGCAUGAGCAAAUUAAUACAACCCUUAGUCCAUGACGAUGGCAGCUUUAGCCUUAUUAGAGGACAUUGCCAAUGGCAGAAUCCGAAGACAACGAGUUUUUAGGGACCAUAAUGAUUUUCUGGCCCACGAUGAUGACUGGCUUAUCAACUGUUUCAGAUUUCCAAGGGCUAUUCUCUAGGAGCUCUGUGCUGAGUUGGGUCCGAAUUUAGAGAGAGAGACAGCGAGGAGCCACGCAUUACCCGUUCCCUUACAGGUGCUCACAACACUUGGUUUCCUGGCAACUGGCUCUUUCCAAAGGGAAUUGGCAGACAGCUCAGGAAUAAGCCAGUCGUCUUUGAGCCGCGCAGUGCCAGCUGUAUGGGACGGGAUCAUCCGCAUGUCUACCAGAUAUAUAAGGUUCCCAUACGAUGCAGUUGACCAGCCAAACAUUAAAGCGCAGUUUGCAGCGAUAGCCGGUUUUCCUAAUGUAAUCGGAGCGAUCGACGGCACACACAUUGCUAUAAAGGCGCCAUCUGAGGAAGAAUUUGCAUAUGUGAAUCGAAAACAUUUCCAUUCAAUAAAUGUGCAGAUAAUAUGUGACCCUGGAUCACAAAACCAGUCUUAAGUAGCACGGGAACAUUUUUAGUAAAAGACAAAAAUACAUUGUGUGGGUCAAAAUUAUCGAUUUUUCUUUUAUGCCAAAAAUCAUUAGGAUAUUAAGUAAAGAUCAUGUUCCAUGAAGAUAUUUAGUAAAUUUCCUACUUUAAAUAUAUAAAAACUUUAUUUUUGUGAGUGGAUGGUCUGCCACAGUGCCCCUGAUUAACAACUUCAAAGGCAAUUUUCUCAAUAUUUUGAUUUUUUUGCGCUCUCAGAUUCCAGAGUUUUAAACGGUUGUAUCUCAGCCAGAUAUUGUCCUAUUCUAACAACUCAUAUAUCUAUAGAAAUUUUAUUUAUUCAGCUUUCAGAUUAUGUAAAAAUCUCAAUUUCGAAAAAUUGACCCAUAAAACAGGUUUUGUUGUCCAGGGUCACAAAUGUGACCCACAAAUGCGCCUAACAAAUAUUGUGACAAGGUGGCCUGGGUCAACCCAUGAUUCAUUCAUACUUACAAACAGCAUGGUUGGGAUGAGGCUCCAAGCUGGCAGGGUGCGCGAUGGGUGGCUUCUUGGUGAGUGAUGCAUUUAAAGUUAUGUUUCUAUAUAAUUUUUUUUUAAAUCAUUCAACUGCCCAUCAGGAGACCGCGGUUAUCCAUUAAAGACGUGGUUAUUAACCCCCCUCACCAACCCACAAACUGACCGAGAGCGCAGAUACAAUGAUGCCCAUUCUCGCACUCGGUCAGUUGUAGAGCGGGCGAUUGGCAGCUGAAAUGUCGGUGGCGCUGCCUUGACAGGACCUGGGGAAUGCUGCUAUACCGCCCUGACAAGAUGUGCCGCAUUGUGCUGGCCUGGGGUGUGCUGCACAAUGUUUGCGCACAGGCACGGCAUACCACUCGGUGAGGUGGUAGCAGCGCCACAUGACCCUGACCCAGGACCAGUGUAUGUGCAGCCCAACCAACAAGCUAUUCAGGCCCAUCAACAUGUGAUUGCGACAAUAUAAAUGUGAUAUUUUUCAGGUGAGUGUUAAUUUCUCCGAUGGCCCGAACGAUUUGCUGUUGUUGUGACUCCAGAACAGCAUGCGUCAAGACGCGGCCAGACGGACGGG